rnacentral:tRNA from 1 species
UCAGGACUAGUGGGCCUCGAUCCCACAAAAACUAGUUAACAGCUAGACACCUAAACCAACAGGAAUUAAUCCA